GAGAGUGUCCCGCUGUGGGAGGAGAGGCUGCUUGGCCACGGUGGCCGACCCUCCGGUGACAGCCCUCCCUCCACGGGCAAGGUACAGCUGGGGAGCGGAGGAGGAGCACACCUGGGGCUGUGCCGGGGUCGGCAGGGAGAAGUCUCACAAAUUGAGCCUCCACAGAUUGUGUGCACUUGGCAUCGCAAGAGGUCACAGGAUUGCAAAUAGGGAAAGUGAUGUCGCGAUGUGCGUCCUGUGCUUGUGCUGCUGCCCAGGUGUCUGGUUUGGAGCACACUGGAGGCGAGAGUUGUAACAUUCCCGAUAGUUUUACUUUCCUCUGACGUGGCUUUAAUUUUUGGUUCCGUGAGACUCCCUCGCCCCGUGCCGCGGUGCGGGCGGUGCUGAUGACCCUGUUGAUCUCCCCGGCACAGACAGGGCUGUUCCAGCUCCUCAGUUCAGGAUCGGACUCACACGGGGCGCUCUGAAGCAGCGGCUCCUUCCAGAGCGGCACAUCCAGCACCAUCAGCAGCUUCUGCCUUCGAGUAUUUCUCCGUCCACCACUUUCCUAAAGGAAAAAAAAUCUAGUUAGUACCUUGCUUUUGCGAAGUUGGACUGAGCUUUUGUAGUGAAGACAAGGUCUUACAGCAGAAAGCCAGGUUUCUAAUGGGCCUUUGGUGUGUAGAGAGUUCAUUUUCAGCCUGGAAGGAAGAAACAAAAGGCAGAAGAGUUGGAGGAUCCUCACAGCCCUUAAAGCAGCCUAGGUGACUAUAAUUCUAGAAGCUGAUUCAUCUGCACUGAUACUGCAGGACUGGAAGAAAAAGAGAGCAUCUAACAAUUCAGCAAGUUACUCUGUCCCUUCUGAGCUUGUCUAUUAACAGCUCAUUGAAUGGAGAAGGAAGAAGAAACUAGUGAGACCUCUCUUGGUAUUGUUCAGCAGUGACCCCG